CGAAAGAAAAAUGUGUCUUAUUACGGAUCUCAAACCUUACAGAGAUGAAUGGCGUCUAACUCUAAAAAUGUUUCAUUGCUGAAAACAAAACACCAGUUAUGGAGGAGAGAGUUUUGAGUGCGUCCUGGUACACCAAACUGGUGCUAAAUCCAGGCUUCAUGCAAAAGAUCUCAAAUGUUUCGUGUUCAACGUUACCCCCUGUUGGUGAAUGGAAGCUCAUUGACACCUUUAAAAUAACUGGAGCAGGAGGUAAAUUUCACCUACAAAUCAACAGUAAAAGUUGAAUAUCAUAGGAGACACAACAAUAACCCCCUCUGCGUAUCGGAAUGAUAAUCAAUUCCUUAAUUUGCUAAGUACGAGGAGAUAUUCAAUGGAAAGCUGAAACCCUUUUUCUAAUUGAUAUCGUGGGAUGUUACUGAUCUUGGAGCAGUAGCUACGGUCCAAGUUAAGGGGGUUGACACAAAAAGAUCAUGAGUGAUAAGGUUUCAGACAAGUGGAAUUGGUUUCAUUUGAUGGUUCAUGAAGUGAUUUGUCAUUUCUGCCAACCUAUAUUUCAUCUAUUUAUGAAACACUUAACUAAAAUGUUUGGAUUUGCUUAUGUUUUUGGACAAGACAGUCU